rnacentral:rRNA from 1 species
GGGUUGUGAGGUUAAGCGACUAAGCGUACACGGUGGAUGCCCUGGCAGUCAGAGGCGAUGAAGGGCGUGCUAAUCUGCGAUAAGCGCCGGUAAGGUGAUAUGAACCGUUAUAACCGGCGAUACCCGAAUGGGGAAACCCAGUGUGACUCGUCACACUAUCAUUAACUGAAUCCAUAGGUUAAUGAGGCGAACCGGGGGAACUGAAACAUCUAAGUACCCCGAGGAAAAGAAAUCAACCGAGAUUCCCCCAGUAGCGGCGAGCGAACGGGGAGGAGCCCAGAGCCUGAAUCAGCAUGUGUGUUAGUGGAAGCGUCUGGAAAGGCGCGCGAUACAGGGUGACAGCCCCGUACACAAAAGCGCAUGUGCUGUGAGCUCGAUGAGUAGGGCGGGACACGUGGUAUCCUGUCUGAAUAUGGGGGGACCAUCCUCCAAGGCUAAAUACUCCUGACUGACCGAUAGUGAACCAGUACCGUGAGGGAAAGGCGAAAAGAACCCCGGCGAGGGGAGUGAAAAAGAACCUGAAACCGUGUACGUACAAGCAGUGGGAGNNNNNNNNNNNNNNNNNNNNNNNNUACCUUUUGUAUAAUGGGUCAGCGACUUAUAUUCUGUAGCAAGGUUAACCGAAUAGGGGAGCCGGAGGGAAACCGAGUCUUAAUUGGGCGUUAAGUUGCAGGGUAUAGACCCGAAACCCGGUGAUCUAGCCAUGGGCAGGUUGAAGGUUGGGUAACACUAACUGGAGGACCGAACCGACUAAUGUUGAAAAAUUAGCGGAUGACCUGUGGCUGGGGGUGAAAGGCCAAUCAAACCGGGAGAUAGCUGGUUCUCCCCGAAAGCUAUUUAGGUAGCGCCUCGUGAAUUCAUCUCCGGGGGUAGAGCACUGUUUCGGCUAGGGGGCCAUCCCGGCUUACCAACCCGAUGCAAACUGCGAAUACCGGAGAAUGUUAUCACGGGAGACACACGGCGGGUGCUAACGUCCGUCGUGAAGAGGGAAACAACCCAGACCGCCAGCUAAGGUCCCAAAGUCAUGGUUAAGUGGGAAACGAUGUGGGAAGGCCCAGACAGCCAGGAUGUUGGCUUAGAAGCAGCCAUCAUUUAAAGAAAGCGUAAUAGCUCACUGGUCGAGUCGGCCUGCGCGGAAGAUGUAACGGGGCUAAACCAUGCACCGAAGCUGCGGCAGCGACACUGUGUGUUGUUGGGUAGGGGAGCGUUCUGUAAGCCUGCGAAGGUGGCCUGUGAGGGUUGCUGGAGGUAUCAGAAGUGCGAAUGCUGACAUAAGUAACGAUAAAGCGGGUGAAAAGCCCGCUCGCCGGAAGACCAAGGGUUCCUGUCCAACGUUAAUCGGGGCAGGGUGAGUCGACCCCUAAGGCGAGGCCGAAAGGCGUAGUCGAUGGGAAACGGGUUAAUAUUCCCGUACUUGGUGUUACUGCGAAGGGGGGACGGAGAAGGCUAUGUUGGCCGGGCGACGGUUGUCCCGGUUUAAGCGUGUAGGUGUGUGUUCCAGGUAAAUCCGGUUCACUUUAACACUGAGGCGUGACGACGAGGCACUACGGUGCUGAAGCAACAAAUGCCCUGCUUCCAGGAAAAGCCUCUAAGCAUCAGGUAACAUCAAAUCGUACCCCAAACCGACACAGGUGGUCAGGUAGAGAAUACCAAGGCGCUUGAGAGAACUCGGGUGAAGGAACUAGGCAAAAUGGUGCCGUAACUUCGGGAGAAGGCACGCUGACACGUAGGUGAAGUGAUUUACUCAUGGAGCUGAAGUCAGUCGAAGAUACCAGCUGGCUGCAACUGUUUAUUAAAAACACAGCACUGUGCAAACACGAAAGUGGACGUAUACGGUGUGACGCCUGCCCGGUGCCGGAAGGUUAAUUGAUGGGGUCAGCGCAAGCGAAGCUCCUGAUCGAAGCCCCGGUAAACGGCGGCCGUAACUAUAACGGUCCUAAGGUAGCGAAAUUCCUUGUCGGGUAAGUUCCGACCUGCACGAAUGGCGUAAUGAUGGCCAGGCUGUCUCCACCCGAGACUCAGUGAAAUUGAACUCGCUGUGAAGAUGCAGUGUACCCGCGGCAAGACGGAAAGACCCCGUGAACCUUUACUAUAGCUUGACACUGAACAUUGAGCCUUGAUGUGUAGGAUAGGUGGGAGGCUUUGAAGUGUGGACGCCAGUCUGCAUGGAGCCGACCUUGAAAUACCACCCUUUAAUGUUUGAUGUUCUAACGUGGACCCGUUACCCGGGUUGCGGACAGUGUCUGGUGGGUAGUUUGACUGGGGCGGUCUCCUCCUAAAGAGUAACGGAGGAGCACGAAGGUUGGCUAAUCCUGGUCGGACAUCAGGAGGUUAGUGCAAUGGCAUAAGCCAGCUUGACUGCGAGCGUGACGGCGCGAGCAGGUGCGAAAGCAGGUCAUAGUGAUCCGGUGGUUCUGAAUGGAAGGGCCAUCGCUCAACGGAUAAAAGGUACUCCGGGGAUAACAGGCUGAUACCGCCCAAGAGUUCAUAUCGACGGCGGUGUUUGGCACCUCGAUGUCGGCUCAUCACAUCCUGGGGCUGAAGUAGGUCCCAAGGGUAUGGCUGUUCGCCAUUUAAAGUGGUACGCGAGCUGGGUUUAGAACGUCGUGAGACAGUUCGGUCCCUAUCUGCCGUGGGCGCUGGAGAACUGAGGGGGGCUGCUCCUAGUACGAGAGGACCGGAGUGGACGCAUCACUGGUGUUCGGGUUGUCAUGCCAAUGGCACUGCCCGGUAGCUAAAUGCGGAAGAGAUAAGUGCUGAAAGCAUCUAAGCACGAAACUUGCCCCGAGAUGAGUUCUCCCUGAGACUUAAAGUCUCCUGAAGGAACGUUGAAGACGACGACGUUGAUAGGCCGGGUGUGUAAGCGCAGCGAUGCGUUGAGCUAACCGGUACUAAUGAACCGUGAGGCUUAACCUUACAACGCCGAAG